GGGGCCGUAGCUCAAUCGGGAGAGCACCUGGUCUGCACCCAGGCGGUUGUCGGUUCGAUGCCGACCGGUUCCA
rnacentral:tRNA from 1 species